rnacentral:rRNA from 1 species
GACGAACCGUCCUAACGUUGUUCGGAAUCACUGGGCUUAAAGGGCGCGUAGGCGGCCCUGUAAGUCGGGGGUGAAAACCCACGGCCCAACCGUGGAAGUGCCUCCGAUACUGCGGGGCUCGAGGGAGGUAGGGGCAGCGGGAACUUCCGGUGGAGCGGUGAAAUGCGUUGAUAUCGGAAGGAACGCCGGUGGCGAAAGCGCGCUGCUGGACCUCUGCUGACGCUGAGGCGCGAAAGCCAGGGGAGCAAACGGG